rnacentral:rRNA from 1 species
CACGGGGGGAGCAAGCGUUGUUCGGAAUUACUGGGCGUAAAGGGCGUGUAGGCGGUCAAGUAAGUGGGAUGUGAAACGCCUCGGCUUACCCGAGGACCUGCAUCCCAAACUGCUUGGCUUGAGUAUGGGAGAGGAUGAGGGAAUUCCUGGUGUAGCGGUGAAAUGCGUAGAUAUCAGGAGGAACACCGGUGGCGAAAGCGCUCAUCUGGCCCAAUACUGACGCUGAGGCGCGAAAGCUAGGGGAGCAAACGGG